GCGGCGGGGGCGCCGCCGGGGCCCGUGGGCGGCGGAGGCGGCCAGCCCGGAGGCGGCCGCGGCCCUGGGAAGGGACGGGGAGGUGGCGCCAGGCGACCGUUACGGCGGCGCGUGCGGAGCCGAGGAGAAGCAGUAAUACAUCACUCUAAGAAUCGCUGCCUUUGGACACUACUCUGAAGGAGGAUCCUUCCAGUAAUAUUGUUCCAAAAUGACUGGAAUCCUGUGUCCAAGAGUGAGGACAGAUGAGAGCAGCAUACAAUGGAGCCUCUCUGCAUUGUUAUGAUGCCCAGGACUGUAGCACUGGUGAUGGUAUACAAUGGCUAUGCUAUCACACACCAUGGAGCAAGUGACUUAGAAGGGAGGAGAAGGCUUAUCCUUCCAGGAAGUCCACCUCUGAUAUGA
rnacentral:lncRNA from 1 species